rnacentral:rRNA from 1 species
UACGUAGGGUGCGAGCGUUAAUCGGAAUUACUGGGCGUAAAGCGUGCGCAGGCGGUUUUGUAAGUCUGACGUGAGAUCCCCGGGCUUAACCUGGGAAUUGCGUUGGAGACUGCAAGGCUGGAGUCUGGCAGAGGGGGGUAGAAUUCCACGUGUAGCAGUGAAAUGCGUAGAGAUGUGGAGGAACACCGAUGGCGAAGGCAGCCCCCUGGGUCAAGACUGACGCUCAUGCACGAAAGCGUGGGGAGCAAACAGG